CCUUUUUUCUUCUUCUUCUUCUUCUUAUUCU
rnacentral:sRNA from 1 species